GGCAAAUCAAAUACACUACGAUGGUACCUAUUCCCAAAUAUAAAUUCAGCCAAACCAACGCCAAGACAACCCACUAAAUUCACCAAUAUGAGACGCGCAUCCGUUUUUUCAGAUCAGCUAAGGACGAGUUUGGUUGCCUGCAUCGAGGCCAACCAGGCCCGCGUGGUGCAGCAUCUUUUCGGGUCUCGGUUGUUUGGUUCCCCGCAUACACUGUUCAGCCUGCAUAGCACGGUUCUUAAAGCACUUCUGGGCCUGGCCCGUUGGGAACGGCCGAAUCGGCAGUUUUCCGAGAGCCAGGCCCGAGCGAUGCUUCGAGGCGCACGUGGGUGGCUCCCUGGAGACGCGUGUCUCGAGUUAAUCCCCCUCUCUCCCUAAUCCUCAGUCCCCUCGUCCGCCGCUAAAAUCUUAUCCCCUCGUCACCUUCCUCCUCUCACCCGCGGCGCACCGGUCCGGGCACGGAGCUUGGUGCGGCCACGGCAGCGAGCUGGGCGCCGAUUGACGGCGGAAGCGCGAGCCGGUGUGGGGCGGCCAUGGCAGCAAGCGGGCGCGGUGCGGUCACGACAGCGAGCGGGCGCGGCGCGACCACAGGAGGGAGCCGGGCAAGGGCACGGCCAGGGCAGUGAGCUUGGCGCGGCCACGGCAACGAGCUGGGCGCGGCGCGGCGGACGACGGAGGCUCGGGCCGGUGCGUCGCGGGCGCGGCCUCGGCCAGGGAAGGGAGCUUGGCGCGGCCACGACAGGGAGCGGGCACGGCCCGACCAUGAUAGCGAGCUGGACGCGGCACGGCUACGGCGGGAACCUGCUCGCGGAGCGGCCAAGAGCAGGGCAGCGGCGGGCCGGCGCGGCUUGGCGCGAGCUGGGGCGGCACGGGCGAGUGCAGCGAGGACUGACGCGGACGAGCUCGCCGGCCGCAGCUUGAGGCUCCUGCCCGUGUGUGUACGAGUACCUGCGCGACCUGUUUAGGUAUUCGAUGGCCAGUACAAGCCUACAAGCGCCGGCGUCGGGCGAGCUUGUACUUCUGAAUUUUACACGAUGUGAGGCUCUUUACUGAAUUUUACUACUACUAGCUGAAUUCCAUCACGCUCAGCUUCAGUCCCGUCUCGAUGAUGAUGUAGGAGUACUUCAUGCCGACCAUCACACUCAGCUUCGAGGGCGGGGCGAGCCUGGAGCUCAGCUUCGUGCCGCGGGAUGCCGAGCUCGGCGGCGGCGAUGGCGGCCCAUGGGUGGACACCGUCGAACACAGACGGCGUCAGCGGGGUGGCGGCGCAGGAGGUCGGCGAAGAGCGGCGCGAGGAGGUUGACGGGGGCGGCGAACGGGCUCCGUGGGCGACGCGAGGAGCAGAGGAAGCUCCGGCGCACUCAACGUGUUUGACGAGAUGAGAAGCCAAACCUGGUGGCUGUUAAGUUUUGUUGUUAACUCCUAAUCAUAUGCAUGUAUGCAACCAAACGCCGGGUCAAAAUUGCAUCUCAAUGACAAGACCUCCUAAUGCAGGCAACCAAUCAAGUUGACAUCUACGUUUUUUGGCCUUGUUUUCCCUCGCCCACGACCUGCUCCUGGCUCUUUUUUCCCUCUGAG
rnacentral:lncRNA from 1 species